rnacentral:rRNA from 1 species
UGAGUAACCUGCCCUUGACUCUGGGAUAAGCCUGGGAAACCGGGUCUAAUACUGGAUAUGACUGCCGGCCGCAUGGUCUGGUGGUGGAAAGCUUUAUUGCGGUUUUGGAUGGACUCGCGGCCUAUCAGCUUGUUGGCGGGGUAAUGGCCCACCAAGGCGACGACGGGUAGCCGGCCUGAGAGGGUGACCGGCCACACUGGGACUGAGACACGGCCCAGACUCCUACGGGAGGCAG